rnacentral:rRNA from 1 species
CCUACGGGGGGCAGCAGUCGAGAAUCAUUCACAAUGGGGGAAACCCUGAUGGUGCGACGCCGCGUGAGGGAAUGAAGGUCUUCGGAUUGUAAACCCCUGUCAUGUGGGAGCAAAUUAAAAAGAUAGUACCACAUGAGGAAGAGACGGCUAACUCUGUUCCAGCAGCAGCGGUAAUACAGAGGUCUCAAGUGUUGUUCGGAAUCACUGGGCGUAAAGGGUGCGUAGGCUGUUUAGUAAGUCGUGUGUGAAAGGCGCGGGCUCAACCCGCGGACGGCACAUGAUACUGCGAGACUAGAGUAAUGGAGGGGGAACCGGAAUUCGCGGUGUAGCAGUAAAAUGCGUAGAUAUCGAGAGGAACACUCGUGGCGAAGGCGGGUUCCUGGACAUUAACUGACGCUGAGGCACGAAGGCCAGGGGAGCGAAAGGGAUUAGAUACCCCUGUAGUC